GACGAACGCUGGCGGCGUGCCUAACACAUGCAAGUCGAGCGGGGGGAGUACUUCGGUACAAACCUAGCGGCGGACGGGUGAGUAACACGUGGGUAACCUGCCUCAAAGUGGGGGAUAGCCUUCCGAAAGGAAGAUUAAUACCGCAUAACCCAUAGCUUCCGCAUGGAAGCAAUGGUAAAGAUUUAUCGCUUUGAGAUGGACCCGCGGCGCAUUAGCUAGUUGGUGAGGUAACGGCUCACCAAGGCCACGAUGCGUAGCCGACCUGAGAGGGUGAUCGGCCCCAUUGGAACUGAGACACGGUCCAGACUCCUACGGGAGGCAGCAGUGGGGAAUAUUGCACAAUGGGCGAAAGCCUGAUGCAGCAACGCCGCGUGAGCGAUGAAGGCCUUCGGGUUGUAAAGCUCUGUCUUUUGGGACGAUAAUGACGGUACCAAAGGAGGAAGCCACGGCUAACUACGUGCCAGCCGCCGCCGUAAGAC
rnacentral:rRNA from 1 species